rnacentral:rRNA from 1 species
GAUGAACGCUAGCUACAGGCCUAACACAUGCAAGUCGAGGGGUAGCAGGAUUAAGCUUGCUUAAUUGCUGACGACCGGCGCACGGGUGCGUAACGCGUAUGCAACCUACCUUAUACUGGGGUAUAGCCCGGAGAAAUUCGGAUUAAUCCCCCAUAGUACUAAUGAAUCGCAUGGUUUAUUAGUUAAAGCAUUGCGGUAUAAGAUGGGCAUGCGUCCUAUUAGCUAGAUGGUGAGGUAACGGCUCACCAUGGCUACGAUAGGUAGGGGGCCUGGGAGGGUGGUCCCCCACACUGGUACUGAGACACGGACCAGACUCCUAUGGGAGGCAGCAGUGAGGAAUAUUGGUCAAUGGGCGCAAGCCUGAACCAGCCAUGCCGCGUGCAGGAAGAAUGCCCUAUGGGUUGUAAACUGCUUUUAUUUGGGAAUAAACCUCUUUACGUGUAGAGAGCUGAAGGUACCAAAUGAAUAAGCACCGGCUAACUCCGUGCCAGCCGCCGCCGUAG